rnacentral:rRNA from 1 species
AUUGAACGCUGGCGGCAGGCCUAACACAUGCAAGUCGAGCGGAUGAAGGGAGCUUGCUCCUGGAUUCAGCGGCGGACGGGUGAGUAAUGCCUAGGAAUCUGCCUGGUAGUGGGGGAUAACGUCCGGAAACGGGCGCUAAUACCGCAUACGUCCUGAGGGAGAAAGAGGGGGAUCUUCGGACCUCACGCUAUCAGAUGAGCCUAGGUCGGAUUAGCUAGUUGGUGGGGUAAAGGCCUACCAAGGCGACGAUCCGUAACUGGUCUGAGAGGAUGAUCAGUCACACUGGAACUGAGACACGGUCCAGACUCCUACGGGAGGCAGCAGUGGGGAAUAUUGGACAAUGGGCGAAAUCCUGAUCCAGCCAUGCCGCGUGUGUGAAGAAGUUCUUCGGAUUGUAAAGCAUUUUAAGUUGGGAGGAAGGGCAGUAAGUUAAUACCUUGCUGUAUUGACGUUACCAACAGAAUAAGCACCGGCUAACUUCGUG